UACGGAGGGAGCGAGCGUUGUCCGAAGUUACUGGGCGUAAAGCGCGCGUAGGCGGGGGGAUUAAGUGAGAAGUGAAAAGGCUGGGGCUCAACCCCAUGCAGUGCUUCUCAUACUGGUCUUCUUUGAGGGUGGUAGAGAGAAGUGGAAUGGCUGGUGUAGCGGUGAAAUGCGUAGAUAUCAGUCGGAACACCAGUGGCGAAGGCGGCUUCUUGGGCCAUUUCUGACGCUGAGGCGCGAAAGCUAGGGGAGCGAACGGG
rnacentral:rRNA from 1 species